GACGUAGGGCGCGAGCGUUGUCCGGAUUUAUUGGGCGUAAAGAGCUCGUAGGCGGCUUGUCGCGUCGACUGUGAAAACCCGUGGCUCAACCAUGUGGUCUGCAGUCGAUACGGGCAGGCUAGAAUUCGGUAGGGGAGACUGGAAUUCCUGGUGUAGCGGUGAAAUGCGCAGAUAUCAGGAGGAACACCGAUGGCGAAGGCAGGUCUCUGGGCAUUAACUGACGCUGAGGAGCGAAAGCAUGGGGAGCGAACAGG
rnacentral:rRNA from 1 species